CCAGACUCCUACGGGAGGCAGCAGUGGGGGAUAUUGCACAAUGGGGGAAACCCUGAUGCAGCGACGCCGCGUGUGGGAAGACGGUCCUCUGGAUUGUAAACCACUGUCCCCAGGGACGAAAAUGACGGUACCUGGGGAGGAAGCUCCGGCUAACUACGUGCCAGCAGCCGCGGUAAUACGUAUGGUGCAAGCGUUAUCCGGAUUUACUGGGUGUAAAGGGAGCGCAGGCGGCGCGUUAAGCCUGGUGUGAAAGCCCGCGGCCCAACCGCGGGACUGCAUUGGGAACUGGCGCGCUGGAGUGCCGGAGGGGUAGGCGGAAUUCCUAGUGUAGCGGUGAAAUGCGUAGAUAUCAGGAGGAACACCGGUGGCGAAGGCGGCCUGCUGGACCGUAACUGACGUUGAGGCUCGAAAGCGUGGGGAGCAAACAGGAUUAGAUACCCCAGUA
rnacentral:rRNA from 1 species